GGUGUUCUCAGCAGCAGAGUCGAGCUGAACGCUUAGCGUUGGUCACUCAGGUUUUAACAGCUGGAUCAACCAUGGUAGGGAGGAAUUUAUUUGCAAUUUGUUUGCUCCUGUGUGCUACCAGAGGCUCAGCUGGCAAUGCUGGAAGAUCUAAGUCAGUGACUCUUCAGCCCUGGUUGAUUGGUCUGUCAGCAGUCGUCGGCUUCCUGCUGAUUGUCUUCAUCAUCCUUUUCCUAAAAACACUACUAAAUAGAAAAAGGGAGACAAAAGAGAAACGGGGCUAUGGGAAGUCUCUAUCGCUGGAUGAUGUGGAGGAUAAAGAAACCGUUAUGUAGAAUCCCAUCACAGUGACCACCCCAUCAAUAUCGCAUAUUUUCAACAAAGAACAUGGCUGUGUUUAAUUUAUGCUAUUAUCUUAUGCAAUGAAGGUUUUUGCUGAAGUCAUAAAACCAAAAGACUUUAUUGUAAUUGUACACAGUACAAUUCGAUCGCAGAUGUUCCUCUUAAGGUUCACGAUCACGUAGUGGUGAAUAAGCAGGAAAAUAAAUACAUAAAAACUAUAAGUACAUGUGCAUGUAGAGUUGGUAUAAAAUGUUUACAUUUAUAACUAACUUGUGAUUGUUUAUAUUUUUAUUCUCUUUAAAAGACAAAAGUGAUGCCAACUGGAAAUUGUUUCAUUAUGGAACUGAAAGUUUUAAGCUAAAUAAAUAGAUAAAAUAAGA